UUGGUCGUUUGGGAUUCUCACCCGUUUCUUGCAAAGGUUGGCUUUCAGGGCCUGACGCCAGAGUUGCUGUCAUUGGCAUCGGACGAUUCCUUUUGAAAAAUCCAAGCUAGAAAAAGCGGAAAUGGAGAAAGGCGGUCGGAGGAAAAACUAGAUGGCGUUGAUGUGCGUCUAUGAUAGCGUGACAAGCUAAAUUGGUGUUUGUUACGUUUCUACCCUGUUAGUGGUUCAAAGAAUUUUUCAUCACAUAUUAACGGUGUCAGCUGCUGAACCAGUGGCCUGCAUUCCUGUUAUCAAUGUUGUCAAUAUUUUUAAGCCCGACUAAGUUAGGGGCACUCACGCCGUUCGCUUCCGGACAUUGACAUUCCUCCUUCAUGUGAAACUAUGGGGUGAGGACCCCUAAAGCUAAGUCAGGUAAAACAAAAAAGUAAAGUAAGUGAAAGAUCACUCUUAAAUAGGAUUGAAUUUUGUAUUUAUGCUAAGGUGGAUUGUCACCAGACAUCACUUGAAUGGUACACCCACUUUCAGCAGCCUUACAGUGUGCUUCAUAAACACAUCAACCCCUGAGAUAACAUUAUCAUUGGAAAUUGUGUUUUUGUUUUGGUUCUUUUCUCCACUUUAUUAUCCAUAUGCAAUUUUCACACUACUUCAUGGUGGGAUAUUUUAUCAUCCUGGAAAAAUGAUUCUGGAACUUGAUGAUUUCUAAUAUACAGCUGGUAUUCAGUUUUAUUUUUACAUGUACAACAUAGAUCUGCAUUAAUGUUGUUUUGCUUUCCCACAAGCAAGAUGAGAUUUAAUGUUUUUACAUUUCAGAAUGAGCUUCCAAUGUGAAGUUGCGAGUAUUUUAGAUUACGGAUUCCUACUUUGAAAACCAAACUAUUUCCUUCUACAAAUGGAUUUUGAAGUAUCAUGUGCAUGUGGUAUAUAUGUACUGUAUGAUACCUUUGUGAAGCCUUUAAUUGGCAUUAUAUAAAAAAAAUUACCAUGGAAGGAAGUUCUUGCAGGAUCUGUUAUCGACCGUCUAUGUUAUGCAGUAAUUGGAUCUGCAGUUUAGUUAGAAACUGUUACUUAGAAAUGUGCUCAGCAUAGAAUUUAUAUGAAAAAUGAUAUUUGAGUGAAAAAAGAUCCUGGUUGAGACAAGAGAUUUAAAAAAUGAUACUGUUUGGAAGGACGACCGGCAAUUUCAAGAUUCAUUUAUUUCCUUCCACUUUAUAGUAUUUAUUUAUUUUUUUAAAUUGAAUUGCAUAUCUGGGCUCCCUUCUUUUCUGUGGCCCCGUUUCCCCUUGACUCGUAAUAAGCCCGUAGGGGGUCAUGCCCCUACUGUGAUCAGCAGUAAAGGU
rnacentral:lncRNA from 1 species